UACGUAGGGUGCAAGCGUUAAUCGGAAUUACUGGGCGUAAAGCGUGCGCAGGCGGUGAUGUAAGACAGGUGUGAAAUCCCCGGGCUUAACCUGGGAACUGCAUUUGUGACUGCAUCGCUGGAGUGCGGCAGAGGGGGAUGGAAUUCCGCGUGUAGCAGUGAAAUGCGUAGAGAUGCGGAGGAACACCGAUGGCGAAGGCAGCCCCCCUGGGCUGACACUGACGCCUCAGGCACGAAAAGCGUGGGAGCAAACAGG
rnacentral:rRNA from 1 species